rnacentral:rRNA from 1 species
UACAGAGGGUGCAACCGUUGCUCGGAAUCAUUGGGCGUAAAGCGCACGUAGGCGGCCCAGCAAGUGGGGAGUGAAAGCCCUCGGCUUAACCGAGGAAGUGCUUUCCAAACUACUGGGCUUGAAUACUGGAGAGGGUCGCGGAAUUCCCGGUGUAGAGGUGAAAUUCGUAGAUAUCGGGAGGAACACCAGUGGCGAAGGCGGCGACCUGGACCGACACUGACGCUGAGGCGCGAAAGCUAGGGGAGCAAACGGG